AUUGAACGCUGGCGGCAUGCCUUACACAUGCAAGUCGAACGGUAACAGGGAGCUUGCUCCGCUGACGAGUGGCGAACGGGUGAGUAAUGUAUCGGAACGUACCAUUCAGUGGGGAUAACGUAGCGAAAGGUUACGCUAAUACCGCAUAUUCUGUGAGCAGGAAAGCAGGGGAUCGCAAGACCUUGCGCUGAUUGAGCGGCCGAUAUCAGAUUAGCUAGUUGGUGAGGUAAAGGCUCACCAAGGCGACGAUCUGUAGCGGGUCUGAGAGGAUGAUCCGCCACACUGGAACUGAGACACGGUCCAGACUCCUACGGGAGGCAGCAGUGGGGAAUUUUGGACAAUGGGGGCAACCCUGAUCCAGCCAUGCCGCGUGAGUGAAGAAGGCCUUCGGGUUGUAAAGCUCUUUCGGCCGGGAAAAAAUCGCAUCAGUUAAUACCUGGUGUGGAUGAUGGUACCGGAAUAAGAAGCACCGGCUAACUACGUG
rnacentral:rRNA from 1 species